CUGUGUGUUUAAUAGCCAGAUCAGAGUGGAUCUGUCUGACAACUGGAGUCAGGAUUUGGGUACCCAGUGUGAGCAUAACCAGGUCUACCCAGAUGCCACAGAGGAGUUGCUAGAUGACUCAUCUUCCAGGGCCGAGUGGUCAUUGCCUUAUUUUGGAAGCCUUCCAGACACACCCCCAGGUCAAAAUCAGCCCCAUUUGCACAGUCAGAGAG